CACAUGCAGGAUUUUCCGUAGGUGAACUCGCGGAGGACAUUA
rnacentral:rRNA from 1 species